AAACGGGGGGCUUUUUUAAAAGAGAGUAGACACCCCAAAAUAUGAGAACUUAGAAUGUAAUUGAUGCGAGGAACUGUAAAAGAAGCAAUGAUAUGACAAUAGUCGUGUUUUAAAGACAGGUACGUGUCGUGUUGGCGAGGACGCCAUGAGGCUUUAAAAUUCCACAAUGAAGCCAACCUAAACAUAUGCUGGUUUAUGGUUCCCCCUGCAACUUGAAACUGGAGCUAAGGAAAAAGAUGGAUGACUUGCCGCGCGCCUGCAGCCCUACUGCAUAAAGGCCAGAGGAGAUAAGAAGUGACUGCUCGCUGAUAGAGGCCUCGCACGGCCGCUCGCCCACACGCCAACUCCUCCCGGCUGGACGACGACGGCAGAUUUCGGCGUCGAGAGAUCGAGCUUAUCGGGCGACCGCCAAAACCUCCUCCGGCAAAGAGCGACAAAUAAAUACCAGGCGAAGCUACCUCUGUUUCUGACGCCGUGGUGCGGCGUUUCUGGCGACCAUCUGCCUGUGACACCUGCUCUUGGUGCGUUGUGUUGAAGAGGGAGGCAAUUAAAAGGCAGCUACAAAGAGCAGAUUUGUCUGCGCUCAACACUUUGGCCCACCUACACUCCUCUCGGCAGGACAACCACAGCCAGUGGAACAUGGCUCCUGUUCUGGGGGUUAAUUAACUCGCAGGUGCCAGAACAAAGAGAAGUUUUUUUUUUGUGGCUCUCGGUGUGAUGAAGAGGUCACCACAAACUGUAUUCAUUUUAUUCAGUGGGUAAAAUAUAUCAUGUUGAAUAUGUGGCUGGCAGCAAUGCACAUCAGUGUUUCCCGUAAGCUGCCAAGAUACCUGUGGCGGUGGG